UACGGAGGGGGCUAGCGUUGUUCGGAAUUACUGGGCGUAAAGCGCGCGUAGGCGGACCUGCAAGUCGGGGGUGAAAGCCCGAGGCUCAACCUCGGAACUGCCUUUGAUACUGAGGAGCUUGAGUCCGGGAGAGGUGAGUGGAACUCCGAGUGUAGAGGUGAAAUUCGUAGAUAUUCGGAAGAACACCAGUGGCGAAGGCGGCUCACUGGCCCGGUACUGACGCUGAGGUGCGAAAGCGUGGGGAGCAAACAGG
rnacentral:rRNA from 1 species